rnacentral:rRNA from 1 species
GAAACUCAAAGGAAUUGACGGGGGCCGCACAAGCGGUGGAGUAUGUGGUUAAUUCGAUGCAACGCGAAGAACCUUACCUGGUCUUGACAUCCCGGAGACCCUUAGGAAACUAGGGGGUGCUUCCAUCUGGAAGAAUCUGGAGACAGGUGCUGCAUGGCUGUCGUCAGCUCGUGUCGUGAGAUGUUGGGUUAAGUCCCGCAACGAGCGCAACCCUUGCCUUUAGUUGCCAGCAGUUCGGCUGGGCACUCUAAAGGGACUGCCGGUGUUAAACCGGAGGAAGGUGGGGAUGACGUCAAGUCCUCAUGGCCUUUAUGACCAGGGCUACACACGUACUACAAUGGCCGAUACAAAGGGCAGCGACACUGCGAGGUGAAGCCAAUCCCGUAAAAUCGGUCUCAGUCCGGAUUGGAGUCUGCAACUCGACUCCAUGAAGUUGGAAUCGCUAGUAAUCGUGGAUCAGCAUGCCACGGUGAAUACGUUCCCGGGCCUU